UACGGAGGGUGCAAGCGUUGUCCGGAUUUAUUGGGUUUUUAGGGUGCGUAGGCGGCCCGUUAAGUCAGCGGUGAAAUCCCGGGGCUCAACCCCGGAACUGCCGUUGAUACUGGCGGGCUUGAGUUCGGUCGAGGCGGGCGGAACUGGCGGUGUAGCGGUGAAAUGCUUAGAUACCGCCAAGAACCCCGAUUGCGUAGGCAGCUCGCUUGGCCGAAACUGACGCUGAGGCACGAAAGCGUGGGGAGCAAACAGG
rnacentral:rRNA from 1 species